AUUCUAAAUAGAAGUGUUUUUCAUAUGAGCUUUCAGGAGAACCAUACAGGAACAGAGAGGGAGGGAACACAUACAUGCAUCCCUACUGAUGGAAAGAAUAUUCCCUCUGGAUUUCCAAAUGUUCAUAGCAGUAAAGAUCUCCACAAGGUAACCCAA